CUCUAUGCUUAAUUCCCAUCCAAUUUUUCCACCUCUUUUCCUAAGCAAGUUUCAGCAUUCACUUCACACCCUUAAUUAGGGAUUGCAUUUACCCAUGAGUAACUAAAAAUCUGACUAAUACACAUUUUUAAGUAAAUUUGCUGUAUAUUUUUCCCCCCCUCACAUAACAAGAAGCCCAGGGUUAGUUCAGAUUCCUUUACACUCUGCUUCAUGCUCCUUGCCUCAUGGUCACAGGAUGACCACACUCCAGAGUCCUGUCCAUGUUCCUAAUUGAUAAAAGAAAGGAACCACUGAGGAUGUAGUCCUCUUAGGAAGCAAUGUUUCCAUCUCCUUCUACCUGAUUGGUCAGAUCUGUAUUACAGGCCAUGCCUAGUUGAAAGGGAUUCUGGGAAAUGCAGUUCUUUUAAGUCGGAUAUAAUUUCACCAUCACCACUAGCAUCCCACUGCCCCCAAACAACAAUAAUUAGUGCUAUUGCUAAGGAAAAGGAAGAAAUCGGAUAUAAGGGAGACGACAGUAUAUGCCAUCCCUUCAUUUUGGUAUUGUCAUUUUCUUCUGCUACAUGCCAUCACUUGACACAAUUUGUAAUGGUAUAUUCAUUUACUUGUAAGUUUUUUUCUUUAUUGUCUAUAUAUUGCCCUUUGUCCCCAUAGGAUCUAUGUCUGUUUUACCCACCAAUGUCUACACACCACCUAGCAUCCUGCUUGGUGUCUAGAAGAAAUUUGACAGAUACUGGUUCAUUGACAAUGAAGUGAAUAAUAUUGCCCAGGAGGAGAAGUAGACAAGAAAGUUGAGACUCAAGGGUUUAAAUAAUUAUUCUAUAUAAUAUGUCAGUCUCCAGUGCCACCGUUAACUUUCCAUCUUUGGACACGGAAAAUGUCACCACAUUAUUUUCCAAAUCACAGAGUGGUCAAUCAUUUCAUUCUUGGAUGGGAGACUCCCAGAUAGCUGUUUUCCACCUGAGGUGUGAGUCAUCUCAACAGGAAACCUAUCCCAUUCACUCCUACAGGAAAAGAGAGAGACUCAAGAACCAUGAAAGGCUCUUUACUGCUCUAUUGAGGAAGAACACAUUUUAUUGUUAUUUGCAUGGACAGAAAAGGCAUAUGUCUCUAACUACAAAGGAGCACAGGGAUGUAAUCUCUGCACGUGCCCAGAAGAAAAGGAGAAAUGGAUACGGGUGGGCAUCAGACCCGUUCUUCCUCUGCUUUAUCACAUUGGUCUUCUUUCUAUUCUUGGAACUCUCCAAGCUUAUUUCUAUUUUAGAAUCUCUAUACUAGCUCUUCUGUAGUGCAAAUAAAUCAAAACAUUCCAUGAACAAAGAAAAACCAGAGCAAGUGCUCCAAUCCUGGAAGAAUGCCCUGACUUAUGUUUCUCACACUGGAAUUCCUUACACACUAUUUCAGGCAGGAGAACAUCUAGACUCUACCUGAAUUACCCCUGGGAAGCGGGGAGCUCAUCACUUUGCAUUAUGAGCAGCAUAACUGCAUUUAUUGAGGAUGAGUAUUUAUUGAGUAUGCAGUG
rnacentral:lncRNA from 1 species